AAAUUUGCUCAACUUUAUGGUGCAUUCAAAUGCUUGAUAGGGAAACCGGUUAGAUUCCGGUACGGACCCACCGCUGUAUUCGGAGACGAAAUCUGUAAAAACCACUGUUUCGUAACAAAACGAAAUGGGAAGGUGCAGAAAGUAGAACGAUCCGUAAGUCAGAAGACCUGCCAUAAAGUCUCGUAAAAA
rnacentral:ncRNA from 2 species